CAGGAGCGGCUUGGGGGGUACGGCCUCUGAGUCGGCGGUGCCGGGGACAGGCGCUCGGGGCAUCCCGCGCCUCUCUGAGGUCCCCGCCCCGUCCCGGCCGGGCCAACUCGCCUGUCAGUCAGUGGGGCGGAGGCAGCGACGGUAGAGGGGCCGGAGCCGGGCACGGAGAAGAGCGCGGGCCAGGCCGAGCGGUGGGGACCUGCUCCUUAACUCCACGGACUCUUCGCCCCAGACUUGCGAAGCUGUACCCCCUGCGCUUCGUUGGACGCCUCCGUAACCCGCGAAGGGCUCUCUUCCCCCGUAGCCUCCCACCCCCGUGACCUCUUCCUAGGACCCGAGAGCUCACUCAGAAGAGGGUGUUGUGGGUACAGGCCAUCGACCCUGUGACCCCUCACGGGCCAGGGCCUUGGUUUCCCUCAGGCCUCCCUCCCCUAUGACUCCCUCCUCAUAGCUUCUGGGGACAGAGCCCUGACCUACCACCAGGACCCCUGCCUGCGAACUCCUCACUGACGGCUUCCUCCUAGGAGUCCCCCUCAGUGGGUCUCCUCCUAAGAGCAUCCCUUUUGGCCUCUGGCAAGCCCCCCCGCCAACCGAGGUGGGGAGGCCUCGGCAGCCAUGCUCGCCCUGGGCCCCCUGUCACCCCACCACCCCCUGGGCACCGAAGCCGGAGUCUAGCAGGGGGCCAGCAGCCAAGAGGCUGGGGCAGGAGACAGGUCACGGUCCACCUCCCUGCUGGGGAGGGAGCAAAGAUGGAGCGGCGGGAGGAGCAGCCGGGGGCUGCAGGGGCUGGAGCAGCACCAGCCUUGGACUUCACUGUGGAGAACGUGGAGAAGGCGCUGCACCAGCUCUACUACGACCCCAACAUUGAGAACAAGAACCUGGCUCAGAAGUGGCUGAUGCAGGCCCAGGUCUCCCCACAGGCCUGGCACUUCAGCUGGCAGCUCCUGCAGCCCAACAAGGUGCCUGAGAUCCAGUACUUUGGGGCCAGUGCCCUGCACAUCAAGAUCUCUCGCUACUGGAGUGACAUCCCCACUGACCAGUAUGAGAGUCUAAAGGCACAGCUCUUCACCCAGAUCACCCGCUUUGCCAGUGGCUCCAAGAUUGUGCUGACUCGGCUGUGCGUGGCACUGGCCUCCCUGGCUCUCAGCAUGAUGCCUGAUGCUUGGCCGUGUGCUGUGGCAGAUAUGGUACGGCUCUUCCAGGCUGAGGACUCACCAGUGGAUGGCCAGGGCCGCUGCCUGGCCCUGCUAGAGCUGCUGACAGUGCUGCCCGAGGAGUUCCAGACCAGCCGCCUGCCCCAGUAUCGCAAAAGCCUGGUGCGGGCCAGCCUGGCAGUGGAGUGCGGGGCUGUCUUCCCGCUGCUGGAGCAGCUGCUGCAGCAGCCCAGCUCACCCAGCUGUGUGCGUCAGAAGGUGCUCAAGUGCUUUUCCAGCUGGGUGCAGCUGGAGGUGCCCCUGCAGGACUGUGAGGCGCUCAUUCAGGCUGCCUUCGCUGCUCUGCAGGACUCAGAGCUCUUCGACAGCAGCGUGGAGGCCAUUGUCAAUGCCAUCUCGCAGCCUGAUGCCCAGAGGUAUGUGAACACACUCCUGAAACUCAUCCCACUGGUACUGGGACUGCAGGAUCAACUGCGACAGGCAGUGCAGAAUGGGGACAUGGAGACCUCCCACGGCAUCUGUCGCAUUGCUGUGGCCCUGGGCGAGAACCACUCCCGGGCCUUGCUGGACCAAGUGGAGCACUGGCAGAGCUUUCUGGCCCUUGUCAACAUGAUCAUGUUCUGCACGGGCAUCCCUGGCCACUUCCCUGUCAAUGAGACCACCAGCUCCCUGACCCUCACCUUCUGGUACACGCUGCAGGAUGACAUUCUGUCCUUUGAGGCAGAGAAGCAGGCUGUGUACCAGCAGGUAUACCGGCCGGUCUACUUCCAGCUGGUAGAUGUGCUUCUGCACAAGGCCCAGUUCCCUUCUGAUGAAGAAUAUGGAUUCUGGUCCUCAGAUGAGAAGGAGCAGUUCCGAAUUUACAGGGUGGACAUCUCAGAUACACUCAUGUAUGUCUAUGAGAUGCUGGGGGCCGAGCUGCUCAGCAACCUCUAUGACAAGCUGGGCCGUUUGCUUACCAGCUCAGAGGAGCCCUACUCCUGGCAGCACACAGAGGCCCUGCUCUAUGGCUUCCAGUCCAUCGCGGAGACCAUCGAUGUCAACUAUUCUGAUGUGGUGCCCGGGCUCAUUGGCCUCAUCCCACGGAUCAGCAUCAGUAAUGUGCAGCUGGCGGACACUGUCAUGUUCACCAUUGGAGCUCUGUCUGAAUGGCUGGCUGACCACCCCGUCAUGAUCAACAGUGUUCUACCCUUAGUACUGCAUGCCCUAGGCAAUCCUGAGCUCUCUAUCUCUUCUGUGUCCACCCUCAAGAAGAUCUGCCGAGAAUGCAAGUAUGACCUGCCGCCCUAUGCUGCCAACAUCGUGGCUGUCUCCCAGGAUGUGCUGAUGAAACAGAUCCAUAAGAACCUUCCCCAAGAGGUUCAUUCUUCCCACCCACAACCAGGUGUGUCUGGGACUGACCCUCGAUGUUCUGCCCCACAGACGAGCCAGUGCAUGUGGCUGAUGCAGGCACUGGGCUUCCUGCUGUCGGCCCUGCAAGUGGAGGAGAUCCUUAAAAACCUGCACUCGCUCAUCUCACCAUAUAUCCAGCAGCUGGAGAAGCUGGCGGAGGAGAUACCUAAUCCCUCCAACAAGCUGGCCAUUGUCCACAUCUUGGGGCUUCUCUCCAACCUCUUCACCACGCUGGACGUCAGUCAUCAUGAAGAUGAUCAUGAAGGCUCUGAGCUCCGGAAGCUGCCAGUGCCGCAGGGACCCAACCCUGUGGUGGUGGUACUGCAGCAGGUCUUCCAGCUUAUCCAGAAGGUGCUGAGCAAAUGGCUGAAUGAUGCCCAGGUGGUGGAGGCGGUGUGCGCUAUCUUCGAGAAGUCAGUUAAGACGCUGCUGGACGACUUUGCCCCCAUGGUGCCACAGCUGUGUGAGAUGCUGGGUCGGAUGUACAGCACCAUCCCUCAGGCCUCCGCUCUUGACCUCACUCGACAGCUGGUCCACAUCUUUGCUCAUGAGCCUGCCCACUUUCCCCCAAUCGAGGCCCUCUUCCUGCUCGUCACCUCCGUCACACUCACCCUCUUCCACCAAGGGCCCAGGGAUCAUCCUGAUAUUGUUGAUUCAUUUAUGCAACUCCUGGCACAGUUGAAUAGAGUUUCUUCAUCUGUUUCCGUGGAAGUUGACAACCCAACAUCCUCCUUUAGUGCCCCUUUGCCUCAACUAGCUCAGUCCUCCACAGAGACCAGGGAGAGGCUGAUCCCGAAGGGAGGGAGCUGGGCUGGCCUGGCGGGUGGGGAAGGGAGGGGGUGGUAACUGUGCCCAGCAGCUCCUGUGGGGCUGGGGUGGCCGAGGAGUUCAGGGGCAGGACCGGAGUUGAAGGGCCUGGGGUUCAUUGUCCCCGUGCUCCUGCCGGGAACUGCCUGCCUCAGUGCCCCCAGCCUGCUCUCGAGAGGUAGGCUGGGAGGAGCUCCAAGGGAGGGGCCGAGCUGAAUGUGCUGCGGUGGAGCCCAGAGCUUGGCUGUCGCUGGGCUGUCAGACAGAUCCUGCUGCUGCUGGGAGGUGGGGUGCUGGCUUCAUUGUGAGAUGUGUCUGGUGUGUAAGUGUGUCAGACCUUACUUGUAUGUUUUGAGUUUGGUUUGGGAAGGGAGCAGAAAUCACGUGGCUGCCGUAAGUAGUACGUGUAUUGUGUUGAGUGUCGGGAUAAAUGUGUAGUUGAAGUGCGGGCCUGGGCAUUGUUGCGUGUUGUGUGUUGAUGUGCGUUAGGCAUUGAUGGAGUUUGAAUAUGGAUGCGUGUUGGAGGCGUGUGUGUUGGGCUGUGGGAGUGCGUGUUAUGGAGGAUUAGGCGUAAGUACGGUAGUGGUGUGUCUGUAUUAGGGGUUGUAUGUUUGAGAAGAUAUAUGUGUCGGGCUGUGGGAAUGUGGGGUUAGUAUGAUGGGGGGUUCUGUGUGUCAGAAAGUUCCUGUGAGUUGGGGGUUCCCAUGGGUUGUGGUAAAUGAUGUGUUUCUUUGCUUAAUCACUGCACAAAUAUAUUUUGAGUGUUUAAUACGUGCUUGGUAGUCUGCUAGGUGCUGAGAAUAUAACGGUGAGCAAAAGCAGCCACAGUUCUUACUCUCUUAGAACUUACAGUCUAGUGGAGGGGGCACAGGAGGAGUGGGAAUGGGCGGUGUGUCCUGGGCCUGGGUGGACGUGUGUGAGGGUAUCCAUGAGGGUGCAUCUUUGGGGUGAGGGCGUUUGAGUAUGUAUUUGUGCCUGUGCGUGGGGAGAGUGCACGUGCUGGGAAACCGGGUGGAAAGAGGGUGUGGGCGUGUGGACAUGGUUUGGGGAUGUGGGGGGGGUGGGAUGUGAAUAUGUAGUGAGGGUGUGUAGCAAAAUGUGGGAGAGUGGUGUGUACAAGGGAUGUGAGAGAGGUGUGUGAUAGAGGGUCAGUAGGGCGUUUCAAGUGAGGGUGCAUGCGGGGCUGUGUGCACAAGAGUAAACAUGGGGGAGUGGAAGGUAUGUGAGGACUGAAGGGUUAGGGGUCGAUGUGGUACGCAUUGGGGGGCUACUGGGGAACAGCAGUGCUUGAUGACUGUGGGAGCUGUGCAGAGCAUCUCCUGUGACCUGAGGAUGUACCAGUCAUGCCCUGGUACCACUUGGGGUGGGCUCUCGGCCCCUAUACUCUGUCCACUCCCCCUGACAUGGCAGCCCUGGCUCCUGGGCUGGGUAUAGAGGAGAAGGGCCUGGACACAGGGUAUCCUGGGUGAAAGGCGGGGCUGUGGCUCCCAGGCUCCUGCCCUGCUUUUCCUCUUCCUAAGCUGGAGAGUGUCUGAGGAAUGCAGGCGGGACGUAGGAGGGGGGCUCUUAGACUGGGCUCCAUGUCCAGCUGCCAUCUCUUCUUCCUGCUGCCCUGUUAACAAAUCCAGGGGGCCUCAACUGCCUCUGUGAAUCAGAGUGAAGUCACUGCUGGCAACCUGGAGCCUGCAGGAGGUCUGGCCCUGAUGGUGGGAGGUGGGGAGUGAGGUGUUUGAUUAGGGGUGACUUGGGACCCAAACUUUUGCAUUAUGACUCCCAACCUCUCUCAUAUACCUGUGCGUUCAUGUACACAUACAUGUACAUAGCAUCCCUUGGCUGCUCCCCUCCUGACCUACUGAGCUCUGGAGUGGUCUGGGUCCCCCAGAGACGGCUGGGGGGCUGGUGUUGACAGCCUCUACUUGCGGCUCUGAAGCGGAAGCCAGAUUUGUUCCUGUGUGAACGAUUGGAUGUCAAAGCUGUGUUCCAGUGUGCUGUGCUGGCCCUCAAGUUCCCCGAAG